GGCCCUUCCAGCCCAGCCAGGCCCUUUAGCAAACAGUUCUGGGGGGUGUCUCAGGUUCUCAUGGCCCCAUCUCCCUUGUGUGUUUUCUCCCCAGGGGAAGCAAGAAGAUGGGGCCAGUCGCCUACUUCAGCCUCUGCCUCCUCGGCUGCCUGAUCUAUAACCCCUCGCUGGCAGCCCCCUCUCUCUCUGCAGAGGCACAGGCUAUGUCGUGUCCCAGAGGCUGGUUCCCCUUCCAUGACAGCUGCUACCGAUACUUC